GCAAAAUAUAGGAAAAUCAAGCUCCUUUCUUCCUAUGCUUUUGGUUAACUCCAAGGUAUUUUUCUUUCUGUUACAUCUUGUUACCAGCUGUUAGGAUGCUUGCAUGAGAUCUCAGCUGGGAUCCAGUCCUCGUGUCCUCUUUCUCCCGGGCCUUUUUUUGCUGAGUAGAGCCCUGCUUUGAAGAUGCAAGUUUUUCAGUGUGCCCAAACCUGCCUAGGAUGCCACCGUGCUCUUACUUUCUUUUCCCUUCUGCAGAAGAGGAGGAGAGGAGCAGAUCAUUCAUAACACGAUGUCUAACUUGUAGGAAUGCUGACCUGAAUGUAGUAAUGAGUUGUCAUCUCGGAUGCAGGCAGAGAGAAGACUGUGGUACCAGCUCUCGGUGUUUUGGCAGUGCCUAGAGCAGUGCUUGUCCAUUCUCAGGUUUCUAAAACUUCUUCUAACAUACUGUUUCAUUAAAUAGCUGUGCAGGAGGUGUGGAAUUUGCUGGAAAAAUGCCAUACAUGCGGAUUCCCAACACAGAGGGUCACAAUGCGAGGGCCAUUUUUGGCACCAUUUGAAAGAUGAGCUUCAGUGACUUUUAAUGAAAAAUUGACUUCUUCAUCCAGAAUGUAUUUUUCCCAAAACCUGUGCACAGAAGAAACUUUCUGUGAGGAGAAAAAAUGUUGUUUAGUGGGAUAUGCACCACCGUCUCACCCAGCUGCAGCAUAAGUUGUAGAGGCCCUUCACUUUAGUCUUGUAAGAAACAUGGAAUAGCAAAGGGAUACCUAUGAACUGACCGAUUUGUUAAGCAUGGUAAAAUACAUUUAUUUAUUUAUUUGACCAAUAGCACUUCAUUUUGUUACACCUGAAGUACAAGUUAAUCACAGCAAGUGUUUUCCUGACAUUAUGAUUUGAUCAUGCCCUUGCAUUUCUUUCAGAUCAGAGAAUAAAGACAUGAGCAGUCACUUAUGUAAACAGGAGGUUUCAGUUGUCAGGUGCUCUGUACUUCAACAUCUGGGAUGCAAAUAUCACAAAAUUGUUUGUUUUAGUAUAAGUUGUUGGAAUCAGGAUGAAUUUUUUAAUAUGCAUUUCUUGAAUCCAUGUUGUAAAGAACUCAUUUUUGAAUGAAACUUUAAUACCCUUUAUAAAAUGAAGUUGGCAAACCAUGUGUUGGCAAACUGUGUGUAUUUAUAUUACCUAUAUAUUCUCACAUGAUUUUUUUUAAUGUACAUAGAAAGUAACUUCUCUUGAAAAUAUGAAAUCUCUUGGUCAAAACCAGCUGAAAGACGAUAAUGUCAUUGCUAUUUUAAAAGCAACCAUUUUAUAUCCAAUCUUAGGUUUUACGGGCCUUACUUCUAAUUUUUAAGGGCUACAGAUCCUCAAAACUGAGAAAACACCUGAUGAGUUAAAUACACUAAGGCAGUAUUUAUGAACAACCUUCCAUUUACUGUCACUGCCUCUGGUUUAGGGGUAAUAUUUUGUUCUUCUGCCCUUUAUAUUCUUCUCACUCCCAGGAAGAAAACUUUUGAAGACUAAUGGCCUUUCUGUUUUCAGGCUGAAUUGUACCCUUUAAUGGCUAAUGUUGUUAACCAUGCAGGUACCUUCUUAGCCAUUAUUGUUCCAGUUUUUGUCAAGUACAGCCAUUUUUUAGGAUUGGAUGGCUCUGUAGAAUCGUAUAAAAGCUUUUGGUAGUUGCACAGUUUAUACUUUUGCC